rnacentral:rRNA from 1 species
GAUGAACGCUAGCGGCAGGCUUAACACAUGCAAGUCGAGGGGUAUAGGUUUUCGGACCUAGAGACCGGCGCACGGGUGCGUAACGCGUAUGCAAUCUACCUUUCACAGAGGGAUAGCCCAGAGAAAUUUGGAUUAAUACCUCAUAGUAUAGCAGUUUCGCAUGAAACCACUAUUAAAGUAUCAACGGUGAAAGAUGAGCAUGCGUCCCAUUAGCUAGGUGGUAAGGUAACGGCUUACCAUGGCUACGAGGCGUAGGGGUCCUGAGAGGGAGAACCCCCACACUGGUACUGAGACACGGACCAGACUCCUACGGGAGGCAGCAGUGAGGAAUAUUGGUCAAUGGACGCAAGUCUGAACCAGCCAUGCAGCGUGCAGGAUGACGGUCCUAUGGAUUGUAAACUGCUUUUGUACGAGAAGAAACAACAUUACGUGUAAUGUCUUGACGGUAUCGUAAGAAUAAGGAUCGGCUAACUCCGUGCCAGCCGCCGCGGUAACAC